GACGUAGGGGGCGAGCGUUAUUCGGAAUUAUUGGGCGUAAAGCGUGCGUAGGCGGAUUCGUAAGUCGGGGUUGAAAUAUCCGGGCUCAACUCGGGGCACGGCCUCGAUACUGCGGAUCUCGAGUCGAGAAGAGGGUAGUGGAAUUCCCGGUGUAGCGGUGAAAUGCGUAGAUAUCAGGAGGAACACCGAUGGCGAAGGCAGGUCUCUGGGCCGAUACUGACGCUGAGGAGCGAAAGCGUGGGGAGCGAACAGG
rnacentral:rRNA from 1 species